UUAAGCCACAGGUUUGUAGUAAUUUGUUACAAGAAACUAAUAUAACUUCUAAACACAGGAGGGAGUGACUCCACAUCCUGCUUCAGAGGUGUUCUGUCUUGUAUAUCUCAGAGGAAAUAAUUCGAAAAACAGAAGAGUCCCACGUAAAUGUGCGUGAAAAUUUCACAUAAAAUACAUGGCUGAGAAUGGUCCUCCCCCAAGCCGUCCCAGGAUUCCCACUAUUGCUAGAAGGACUUUCAAGACAGCCUAUUUGGAAUUGGUUAGUGUCCUGAGCAACGUCCCCAAAUGUAAAUGCCUAUUAUGGAAGCACCUGGAGCAGUAUAAAUACGAGGCUCGGGAAGCAUCGGCGGGACCAGGCACCCAGCACGCUUCACCUCCUUCUGGGACCCACACCAGGCAGCCAGUGUCACCCAGACGCUUCUCCACGUUGUGUCCUCUCUUCAGCCUCUUUUCUCAGGUUGCCCCCAGUAAGCUCUGGAGCCAGGAAGAAAGAAAGAGGAGUGGGGUGUCUUCUGUGCAGAGAAUGAUCACUAAGCCGUAGCUGGAGAGUAGCUCGAGAUCUAGAAUUAAGCAAUCAAUCUGAGCCUUAAGGAGAUUAUCACUCAAAGGAGAUUGUUUGUCUGGAGAGAAAUUCUUAUUGUUGAGAAAUAAAAAGCAUGAUCUUACAAAAAUAUCUAACAAGGAACUCCUGCCCCUGCACCUAUAAAUCAGCCUGCAAAAGCACAGCCUUGCAGCUGCAUUCUGCUUCUGUAACCCUGCUUGCAAAAUUCCACCUAGCAACACGUUGCCAACGAGCAAAAGUUAUGCUGGUCCCACCUGAAAAACGGGACUCAGAAUCUGGAGAUUGACUCUCCUCUGGGCCUGCACAUAAUAAAUCUGUUCCUCCCCU
rnacentral:lncRNA from 1 species